AUGGUGAAAUAACGUCGUCAUUGGGACCACCAAUCAGGAUUAGCUCCUUAAUCCGCAAGAAAUUUCGUUUGUAUUCUGAGAAAGAAAAAAUACGUCUCUGUCGAGACUGUAGCUCUACUGGUUUGUACUUAUAACAAAGGAUGAGAAAAGAAGCCAUUGCCAUCAGACCAAAACUGUAGAAAGAGUAGCGUUUUAAA